CUGAAGUGAAGUGGGAUCUCAUAGUCGACAAGAGGCAGGACUGAUUUCUGUGGUGACCAGUGACAGGACCCGAGAGAAUGGCCUGGAGAUUAGUCGGGAAGGUUUAUGUUGGAUAUCAGGAAACGGUUCAUCGCCCAGAGGUGGCUGGGCACUGGAACGGGCUCCCCAGGGAAGUGGUCACAGCACCAGCCUGAGAGAGUUAAAAAGCUUUAGGACAGCGCUUUCAGGCACAUGGUGUGCUUCUUAGGAUUGUCGUUUGCAGAGCCAGGAGUGGGACUCGAUGGUCCUUGUGGGUCCCUUCCAACUCGGCUUCAUGUUUCCCCCAGAUGGGAAAAUGCAGGGACAAUGACUGAAGAGCUGCAUGGAAGAGAAGGUGACCACAGAGAUGGUCCUGUCAUAACUCAGUCACUCUCUAAAGAGUCAAAGCAGAAGAAAGACACUGAGCUGAGCACAAAAAUAGUCUGGAUGGAGAAAGCUUCAAACUGUCUGAGACCUGCAACUAAAAUAUGCCAAAAGUUACUGCUGCUUCAAGUAGCAUUAAUUCCUGCUUAGUGCCCAGCAGGAAUGAUGUAUAUUUAGUGAGUGACUUCAACUUUGGCACUGAAAAUGUGGAUAUUCCACCACCUUACCAGGACCCAAAUCUCAUCCACUACUGUAGUAUUGAUUUCAGACACUGGCUUGAAUGAAACCUUUUCCCACAAUUUUCAAAUUCAGUUCUCAACAGCAAAAUGGUGAGAGGAUCAGAAAUAACACAGGAACAGGUGACCACUGAGAUGUGAAUAAAACAGAGCAAAAUAAUGUUCUUUAUUGCCUUUCAUUACACCAGGACAUCUACUGUAGUGUGGAAAACUAAAUGAAAGACCUGGCAAAUAUGAAAGAGUAAAGUACCUCCAGCUGCGUGCAGUAAGGAUUCAAUAGCAUUAAGGAAUCCUGAGGUCAUUACAAACUACAGGUACAGGGCUCCAUGGAUUGUUUACUUUCAUGAGGGACACUGGAAAAAAAUGACAUGUACUCUGAAUGUAAGUAGACUUGGUAAAUAGUUAGAUUCAAGAUUCUGAUUUUGCUGUAGGAAUCAUUAGGAAGUACAAUCUUAGUUGAAAGUUAAGUAACUUAUAAUUUGUCCUAAUACUUUAAACCUGCAAACAAAUGAGAGGUUUUUUUGUUAAUAGCAAGCCAUACCUUUUGGGAAUACUCUUAUCAUGUAUGUGCAAAAAACCUCCCUAAAAUGUUUAAAUACAUUUAACGGGCCAGAAUUUAUCUCAAGGUCAGUUGUACUGCAAUUUAGUAGUUAGGUUUGUGUUUUCACUUUUUCUGGGCAACUGAAUUUUUUUAUUGUUUCAAUGCCAUUACAAAGAACUGCCCUAAGAAUAUCCAUGUUAGAACUUUAUAUGAAAGCAGUAAAUAAAAGCAACAUUUGUCACUGUUUAGCCUGGACGUCUGGGAGAAGUAUAAUAAAAUCACAGUACAGCUUUGUUGUUGCAGAAAUUUCUUGCAUAUCCACAAGGCCUCUAAAAUGGUAUCAGAAAAUCUAUUCCAGAGAAGAGAGAAUUACCUCUUAAACAUGUGGGUUGCUGGUGGUCUGAAGAAGCUUAUAAGGGCAGUUGCUCUGUCCCUGAGUAUGUCUCUGAUGGCCUAAAAAAACCAGGAGGGGUGUAAACUGGUCCCACUACAUUAAAGAUCUCUCUACUGUCUCUUAAUAACCAUAGCUAAAAAUAGCUAGUUCUGGUUGUUUCCUACAGCUUUGAUAUCUCAUCUUUCUUUUGAUGCCCCCAGUCUCUUCAGCCAUACAGUCAACCUCUUCCCACAUCUGAAGAGUUUCAAAAGGAAACUAGCAAGCCACCAUAGCACUGAGAUAGAACCACAAUGAAACCUGGGGCAAUGGCAACUCUGUGAAUUUCACCCCUUGUUUUCUUUUGCUGCAGCAUUUUUUGACUGUUGUGGCUUUUAGUAGUGGUUUCAAACUUACUUUUAAAAAAAAAGUUUCAUUUUUUUUUUCUUCCUUUUUUUUUGUAGCUUGAAUUUCAAUUAGUAUCUUGGCAGAGGAGGUAAGGCUUGAAUAAUUUUCAUGCAUCAGCUCUGACAACAUCUUUUUUGCUAUUCAUUUUUUGGGAAACAUUAACAUUCUUAGAAAAGACUAUCAGAGAGUAAUAAUGAAAACCAUGUAGUAUGUUGGAAGUAUCUGUAAUGAAUAUGCAAUAUCUUGGUAUUCCUUUUAUCUGAAAAUAUUUAUUUGUUAUGAAAGCAUGCUAAAGAGUAAAAUAACCAUUUAAAUCUUCAUUAUUCCUAUCAUAGUUGUAUCUGAGCUAUGAAAUAAAACAUAAAAUUAUGUUUUAUGCACCUCUACAUUUGAGCUGGGAAGCUUCCUGAGCUGUUGGUAAGCUGUAGAUCUGAGGAGCAGAGGGUCUAAAUGGUUUGUCCAGGAGCAAAGAGAAAGCCAGGGACAAAGGCUUCUUCUACUCACUAGAAGUAGUCUUCGGGGACUCUCUGGAUACAGUUUUAUACCCAGCUUUAGAUAACCCCUGGAGAUGGGGCAGGAUGGCAGAAAGCCUGCAACAAGACACCUGGUGAUCUGCCAUUGAUCUUCAGAGGGCCACCAGAGACCAGAAGUGGGGGUAGAGUUGGGAAAGGCAAUUAACCUAAGUGGUCACAGAUGUUCUCACUCCACAUCUGCCCUCUGCAGACUUCAGUGGUGUGGUUUCUGUGGAAACAAACUCUGUGCUAAAUGGAGCUGCUAUCCCUGUCAGGAUGUAAUUUUUCCAAAGAUGUAUUCUGCAGUAGCACAGCAAGAACUCAUUGAUGCAGAAUGGUGCAGAGCUAUCCUGCAGCAGUAUUGCAUAUUCUGAUCCAAGGAAGAACAGCUUUUGAUCCAGGGACAAAUGCAGGAUUUGUUAUGAGUUGAUCCAAUGAUUCUGUAAAAGGAAGGUCUUUAACUGUGGCAAAGACUCUAUGUAAUCCUCAGGGAGCAUGGGGUCAGUCUGAAGUCUUUCCUUUGCCCAUUUUAAGGUGACCAAGAAGAGAAAUAUUUGAGCUAAACCCCUGACUGCAGCAUUUAGCAUGUCUGUGUAUGCAUCUCUGUCAGUUGUUGCUGAGUAAGAACUGGAUGCAUCUCCUGCUCCUGUGUCAUGACUGCUGACAUGAACAAGUGGGAGGAAGAUCAAGCUCUGGCAAGGACAGACUUCAGGAGCUGCUUCAUUCUUCUUUCACACGCAUGGGAGUGUUGCCGUGUGCUUUCCUGUCUAAUCAGUCUCAACACAGCCUUGCACAACUCAGCCUGCUUUAAGCUUUUAACCAGGGUGUAGGAGUUCAGGAAAAAAAACCCACCUCCCUUCUCCCAAGAAAAAUGUAAUUGCAAAGAUUUGUUUCGAUGUAGCAUGUGCAAUAAACUUGAAUCACUGAA